rnacentral:ncRNA from 2 species
AGAGUUAAAUAGUACGUGAAAUUGUUGAAAGGGAAACGAUUGAAGCCAGUCGUACCUGCGGGUAAUCAGCCUUUUGGGCAUGAUUCUGUGGAGCGUGAGGAGUUAAACGCCUUCAUGCCUGCAUAUUCGUGUACUUUGGGUGUACUUGCCUGUGUGGUUAGUUAACAUCAAUUUUGGUUAUCAUAAAAUGGUUGGAGGAAUGUAGCUUCGAUUUCGAUUGAAGUGUUAUAGCCUUCGGCAGAUGUGAUGAUCGGGAUUGAGGAUUGCAACGGAUACCCUUCGGGGCUACCUGUCUGGUCUCUGAUCGUUGCUCUGGUGCCGAAAGCGUGCUUACGGUUAUCAAAGUCGAUGGUCAAUAGGUUAGAACGGGUUAAAUUCGUUAAGGAUGUUGACGUAAUGGCUUUAAACGACC